UACGUAGGGCGCAAGCGUUGUCCGGAAUUAUUGGGCGUAAAGAGCUCGUAGGCGGUUUGUCGCGUCUGCUGUGAAAACCUAAGGCUCAACCUUGGGCUUGCAGUGGGUACGGGCAGACUAGAGUGCGGUAGGGGUGACUGGAAUUCCUGGUGUAGCGGUGGAAUGCGCAGAUAUCAGGAGGAACACCGAUGGCGAAGGCAGGUCACUGGGCCGCAACUGACGCUGAGGAGCGAAAGCAUGGGGGAGCGAACAGGA
rnacentral:rRNA from 1 species